GACGAACGCUGGCGGCGUGCCUAAUACAUGCAAGUAGGACGCAGUUGCGAACGGGUGAGUAACGCGUAGGUAACUGCCUAUUAGAGGGGGAUAACUAUUGGAAACGAUAGCUAAUACCGCAUACUAGUAGAUGGAACUGCGUUGUAUUAGCUAGUAGGUGGGGUAAUGGCCUACCUGGGCGGCGAUACAUUGCCUACUUGAGAGGGUGUUCGGCCACACUGGGACGUAAGCACGGCCCAGAAUCCUACGGGAGGCAGCAGUAGGGAAUCUUCGGAAAUGGGGGGAACCCUGACCGAGCAACGCCGCGUGAGUGAAGAAGGUUUUCGGAUCGUAAAGCUCUGUUGUUAAGGAAGCGGUACUUAACCAGAAAGGGACGGCUAACUACGUGCCAGCAGCCGCGGUAAUUC
rnacentral:rRNA from 1 species